GACGAACCGAGCGACCGUUGUUCGGAAUCACUGGGCUUAAAGGGCGCGUAGGCGGGCUGUCAAGUCUGGGGUGAAAUCCCGCGGCUCAACCGUGGAACUGCCUUAGAUACUGACGGCCUCGAGGGAGGUAGGGGCGAGCGGAACUGUGAGUGGAGCGGUGAAAUGCGUUGAUAUUCACAGGAACUCCGGUGGCGAAGGCGGCUCGCUGGACCUCUUCUGACGCUGAGGCGCGAAAGCUAGGGGAGCAAACGGG
rnacentral:rRNA from 1 species